rnacentral:rRNA from 1 species
ACCUGCCCUAUGAUUAAAAAUUAAAUGGCUGCGGUAUUUUGACCGUGCAAAGGUAGCAUAAUCAUUAGUUUUUUAAUUGGGAACUGGUAUGAAAGGUCGAACGAAAAAGAGACUGUCUCAAUUUAAUUUAAAUUAGAAUUUUAUUUUUAAGUAAAAAAGCUUAAAUAUAUUUAAAAGACGAGAAGACCCUAUAGAGUUUUAUAUCUAGGUAUUUAUAUAGGAAAUUAAAGGAUUGUUUUUUUUUUAUAAUUAUUGAAGUAUUUGGUUGGGGCGAUUAAAAAAUUUAAUAAACUUUUUUUAAAUUAUAACAUUGAUUUAUGAAUAAGUGAUCCAUAUUUAAUGAUUAGAAGAUUAAAUUA